AUGAAGGCCAUCAUUAAGGUGCUAACCGCCCGGCUCCAGAAAAUCAUUCACUCUCUUGUUGAUCUUGACCAAACUAGGUUCCUGGCUGGGAGGUGUAUCUCUGAAAACUUUGUUUACGCGGCAGAUAUUCUUCACUCCUUCCACUCCAGAAAAUGUCCCACUGCGCUUCUCAAACUUGAUUUCCGCAAGUCCUUCGACUCCGUUAGCUGGGAUAGUCUUGCUUGUAUCUUGCGUGCCUAUGGUUUCCCUCUUGUGUGGUGUGCUUGGAUCCACACGAUCCUCUCGACCGGGCAUACCUCCGUCCUCCUCAAUGGGGUCCCCGGC
rnacentral:rRNA from 1 species